AUUGAACGCUGGCGGCAUGCUUUACACAUGCAAGUCGAACGGUAACAGGGAGCUUGCUCCGCUGACGAGUGGCGAACGGGUGAGUAAUGCAUCGGAACGUGCCUAUUUGUGGGGGAUAACGUAGCGAAAGUUACGCUAAUACCGCAUACGCCCUGAGGGGGAAAGCGGGGGAUUCGUAAGAACCUCGCGCAAUUAGAGCGGCCGAUGUCGGAUUAGCUAGUUGGUGGGGUAAAGGCUCACCAAGGCGACGAUCCGUAGCGGGUCUGAGAGGAUGAUCCGCCACACUGGGACUGAGACACGGCCCAGACUCCUACGGGAGGCAGCAGUGGGGAAUUUUGGACAAUGGGCGAAAGCCUGAUCCAGCCAUGCCGCGUGAGUGAAGAAGGCCUGGUGUAAG
rnacentral:rRNA from 1 species